AUUGUUGUGGAAAGAAAAUAAAAAGAAGGAAAAAAAAAAAAAUCUGUUCUUAUCAGUUUAAUAUCUGAUACGCCCCCGAUUUGGGGGCAACGUAUUAAAUGCAUUUUUAGAACAGGGAGCCGAAUAAGGGGCUCGCCCAAGAAAUGCCUUAUUUGAGGGCUUUUGCAUUGUAUUUGUUUUUGAAGAUCCCAC